rnacentral:rRNA from 1 species
UACGGAGGAGGCAAGCGUUAUCCGGAAUUAUUGGGCGUAAAGGGCGCGUAGGCGGCUAGAUGUGUCAAAGGUGAAAUCCCUCGGCUCAACUGAGGAACUGCCUUUGAAACUGUCUGGCUUGAGGCCGGGAGAGGGUAGCGGAAUUCCCAGUGUAGCGGUGAAAUGUGUUGAUAUUGGAAGGAACACCGGUGGCGAAGGCGGUGAUCUGGGCCGACACUGACGCUGUAGAGCGAAAGCGUGGGGAGCGAACAGG